GCCUACGGCCAUACCACCCUGAAAGCGCCUGAUCUCGGAAGCUAAGCAGGGAUGGGCUUGGUUAGUACCUGGAUGGGAGACCGUCUGGGACUGUAUUGAGAAUAGCUGA
rnacentral:rRNA from 1 species